rnacentral:rRNA from 1 species
UACGUAGGUGGCAAGCGUUGUCCGGAAUUAUUGGGCGUAAAGCGCGCGCAGGCGGUCCUUUAAGUCUGAUGUGAAAGCCCACGGCUCAACCGGGGAGGGUCAUUGGAAACUGGAGGACUUGAGUGCAGAAGAGGAAAGCGGAAUUCCACGUGUAGCGGUGAAAUGCGUAGAGAUGUGGAGGAACACCAGUGGCGAAGGCGGCUUUCUGGUCUGUAACUGACGCUGAGGCGCGAAAGCGUGGGGAGCAAACAGG